rnacentral:rRNA from 1 species
UUGGACAAUGGGCGAAAGCCUGAUCCAGCAACGCCGCGUGAGGGAUGACGGCCUUCGGGUUGUAAACCUCUUUCAUCCAUGACGAAGCGCAAGUVACGGUAAUGGAAGAAGAAGCACCGGCCAACUACGUGCCAGCAGCCGCGGUAAUACGUAGGGUGCGAGCRUUGUCCGGAAUUAUUGGGCGUAAAGGGCUCGUAGGCGGUCUGUUGCGUCGGGAGUGAAAACUCAGGGCUUAACCCUGAGCCUGCUUCCGAUACGGGCAGACUAGAGGUAUGCAGGGGAGAAUGGAAUUCCUGGUGUAGCGGUGAAAUGCGCAGAUAUCAGGAGGAACACCAGUGGCGAAGGCGGUUCUCUGGGCAUUACCUGACGCUGAGGAGCGAAAGUGUGGGGAGCGAACAGGAUUAGAUACCCUGGUAGUCCACACCGUAAACGUUGGGCGCUAGGUGUGGGACUCAUUCCACGAGUUCCGUGCCGCAGCUAACGCAUUAAGCGCCCCGCCUGGGGAGUACGGCCGCAAGGCUAAAACUCAAAGGAAUUGACGGGGGCCCGCACAAGCGGCGGAGCAUGCGGAUUAAUUCGAUGCAACGCGAAAAACCUUACCUAGGUUUGACAUAUACGAGAAGCCUCUAGAGAUAGAGGCCUCUUUGGACACUUGUAUACAGGUGGUGCAUGGCUGUCGUCAGCUCGUGUCGUGAGAUGUUGGGUUAAGUCCCGCAACGAGCGCAACCCUCGUCCUAUGUUGCCAGCACGUAAUGGUGGGGACUCAUAAGAGACUGCCGGGGUCAACUCGGAGGAAGGUGGGGAUGACGUCAAGUCAUCAUGCCCCUUAUGCCUAGGGCUUCACGCAUGCUACAAUGGCCGGUACAAAGGGCUGCGAAACCGCAAGGUAGAGCGAAUCCCAAAAAGCCGGUCUCAGUUCGGAUUGGGGMUGCCAACUCGACCCCAUGAAUCGGAGUCGCU